rnacentral:rRNA from 1 species
UGGGGAAUAUUGCACAAUGGGCGAAAGCCUGAUGCAGCAACGCCGCGUGAGUGAUGAAGGCCUUCGGGUUGUAAGGCUCUGUCUUUUGGGACGAUAAUGACGGUACCAAAGGAGGAAGCCACGGCUAACUACGUGCCAGCAGCCGCGGUAAUACGUAGGUGGCAAGCGUUGUCCGGAUUUACUGGGCGUAAAGGAUGCGUAGGCGGAUUUUUAAGUGAGAUGUGAAAUACCCGGGCUUAACUUGGGUGCUGCAUUUCAAACUGGGAAUCUAGAGUGCGGGAGAGGAGAAUGGAAUUCCUAGUGUAGCGGUGAAAUGCGUAGAGAUUAGGAAGAACACCAGUGGCGAAGGCGAUUCUCUGGACCGUAACUGACGCUGAGGCAUGAAAGCGUGGGUAGCAAACAGGAUUAGAUACCCUGGUAGUCCACGCCGUAAACGAUGAGUACUAGGUGUAGGAGGUAUCGACCCCUUCUGUGCCGCAGUUAACACAAUAAGUACUCCGCCUGGGAAGUACGAUCGCAAGAUUAAAACUCAAAUGAAUUGACGGGGUC